AGGGAACAGCAGAACACAUAUGACACACUGCUGUGACUGGAAGCCAAGAAACAAAAGACAAAAAGAUCAAAAUCUUUACAAACAGCCCAGCUCUUAAGGCUCAAAGGCCACAUUAUGAACAUCGAUGUUGUGGGUCGGAUCCGACCGGCACGAAGACCGGAACAAGGACACAGCCUGCAGACGUCGGCUGAAGGCAAGACCAUCUACACAACAUUGGGAGGAGGUGCCUCCUGCAGUUUUCAGGAGGUCUUCGACCCGAGCGUUUCCACCCGGGAGAUAUUCACCAAGACUGUGGAGCCCCUGAUCAACGUAUUCACGGAAGGAAUGAAUGUCUGUGUUGCCGUGUUUGGUGAAACUAACUCUGGGAAGACGCACACACUAAUCGGAGAAAAGAAUGACCGAUAUGCAA